AGUGGCCUAUGUAACAUACCAUAUGUAUUGAAUAGUAUGACUUUUCCAGCAUGUUGAUAUGAUGGUGUGGCUACAUCAAUUAUGUUGACAUCAAAAACGUUCGUGCAGGAUGUGGGACAUCAAAUACACCAUAGUUAACCAUCAGAGGUGCUGAACGUAAUACUAUUACUUUCCUUUGCAGGUUGAUAUCAUUUUGUGGUUGCAAGAAUCAAGAUUCCAUUGAAAAUGUUUGGGCAGGAUGUGAGACAUCACCUGCUCCAUAGAUAACCAUGUCAAGUACUGAUCUUAGUGCAUCUUCUUCCUGCUCGUUUAUUUGAUUGUGUGGCCUGAACAAUCAUGACAGCAUCGAAAAUGUUCAGCAGGUUGAUCUGAUAGUGUUGAUGCUACAAUCAUGAUGCCAUCAAAAAUGUCCGUGCUGGAUGUGACACAUCAUCUGCACCAUAGUUAACCAUCAGGGGUGCUGAACUUAAUGCAUCUCCAUUCUUUUGUAGGUUGAUUUGGUAGUGUGGCUGCCACAAUCAUGGUACCAUCAGAAAUGUUUGGCAGAUUGAUUUGGUUGUGUGGGUGCAACAAUCAUGGUGCCAUCGAAAAUGUUCAUGCAGGAUGUGAGGCAUCACCUGCACUCUAGCAGGUUGAUAUGGUUGUGUGGCUGCAAGAAUCAUGGUGCCAUCAGAAAUAUUUAUGUAUGGUAUCAGAUGUCACCUGCUCCAUAAUUAUCCAUGAUAGGUUCUGAACUUAAUACAUCCAC